rnacentral:rRNA from 1 species
GACGUAGGGAGCGAGCGUUGUCCGGAUUCAUUGGGCGUAAAGAGCGCGCAGGCGGUUUGGUAAGUCGGAUGUGAAAACCCGGGGCUCAACCCCGGGCGUGCAUCUCGAUACUGCCCGACUAGAGGUAGGUAGGGGAGAUCGGAAUUCCUGGUGUAGCGGUGAAAUGCGCAGAUAUCAGGAGGAACACCGGUGGCGAAGGCGGAUCUCUGGGCAUUAACUGACGCUGAGGAGCGAAAGCAUGGGGAGCGAACAGG